rnacentral:rRNA from 1 species
GAUGAACGCUGGCGGCGUGCCUAAUACAUGCAAGUCGAGCGAACGGACGAGAAGCUUGCUCCUCUGAUGUUAGCGGCGGACGGGUGAGUAACACGUGGAUAACCUACCUAUAAGACUGGGAUAACUUCGGGAAACCGGAGCUAAUACCGGAUAAUAUUUUGAACCGCAUGGUUCAAUAGUGAAAGACGGUCUUGCUGUCACUUAUAGAUGGAUCCGCGCCGCAUUAGCUAGUUGGUAAGGUAACGGCUUACCAAGGCAACGAUGCAUAGCCGACCUGAGAGGGUGAUCGGCCACACUGGAACUGAGACACGGUCCAGACUCCUACGGGAGGCAGCAGUAGGGAAUCUUCCGCAAUGGGCGAAAGCCUGACGGAGCAACGCCGCGUGAGUGAUGAAGGUCUUCGGAUCGUAAAACUCUGUUAUUAGGGAAGAACAUAUGUGUAAGUAACUGUGCACGUCUUGACGGUACCUAAUCAGAAAGCCACGGCUAACUACGUG